rnacentral:rRNA from 1 species
AUUGAACGCUGGCGGCAGGCCUAACACAUGCAAGUCGAGCGGAGUGGCGGACGGGCGAGUAAUGACUAGGAAUCUGCCUGGUAGUGGGGGCUAACGUCAGGAAACGGGCGCUAAUAUCGCAUACUAUCAGAUGAGCCUAGGACGGAUUAGCUCGUUGGUUGGGUAAAGGCCUACCAAGGCGACGAGCCGUAACUGGUCUGCUAGGAUGAUCAGUCACACUGGAACUGAGACACGGUCCAGACUCCUACGGGAGGCAGCAGUGGGGAAUAUUGGACAAUGGGCGAAAGCCUGAUCCAGCCAUGCCGCGUGUGUGAAGAAGGUCUUCGGAUUGUAAAGCUCUUUAAGUUGGGAGGCGUUACCAACAGAGUAAGCAACGGCUAACUUCGUGCCAGCAGCCGCGGUAAUUC